CAGUAGCCGCGGUAAAACAGAGGGUGCGAGCGUUAAUCGGAUUUACUGGGCGUAAAGCGUGCGUAGGCGGCUUUUUAAGUCGGAUGUGAAAUCCCUGAGCUUAACUUAGGAAUUGCAUUCGAUACUGGGAAGCUAGAGUAUGGGAGAGGAUGGUAGAAUUCCAGGUGUAGCGGUGAAAUGCGUAGAGAUCUGGAGGAAUACCGAUGGCGAAGGCAGCCAUCUGGCCUAAUACUGACGCUGAGGUACGAAAGCAUGGGGAGCAAACAGGAUUAGAUACCCCAGUAGUCCCUGUCUCUUAUAC
rnacentral:rRNA from 1 species